CAUUAUUUGAAAAUUGAAGACUUAAAUAUUCAAUUUUGUCAAGGAACGUUUCUGGAAAAACCAAGGGGUGGAAGGAAAGUUCUCUUUCUCGAGCGGCUUGGAAAUGCCUCUGGCAUUCGAAGGCGCUAUCGAGGUGUAAAGAGCUUUUUUGGAGAGCUUCUCUUGAGAUUGUUCCAGUGCGAGGUGCUCUUCGUUGAUGGGGGAUAGAUGUGGACCCUUCUUGUCUAUUUUUAGGUGCUGAUUGUGAGACCACUUUCCAUGCUUUGCUGCCUUGUCUAGAAACAACUUUGGUUUGGAUCCUCUCUUGGAUUAUAUUUUCAGGGUUCUAUGGAGUUAGUUAUCUUUUGUCCAAUUUUUAUAAAGGUUCUUGCUGGAUGUGGAUGAGGUGGUUCUUCAAGCCUUUAUCACUAUGGCAUACUAUAUAUGGGUGAGGGCGAACAAACUUGUUCUUAAGCAGGUGCGACUUCUGUUUGAUUUGGUGUUUCAACGAGCCCAUAGUCUUUGGCCUCCUCCUAAUUUGGGAGUCAUGACUGGGGAGUCCACAUAGCUCUAUAUUCUUCUUGGAGUCGUCCUACAACGGGGUUGUUAAGGUCAACUUUGAUGCUUUUGAGACUGAUUCACAUAUUGUUGGCUUUGGUUUUGUAACGAGGGAUCAUGAGGGUGAAAUUUUAACUGCAACCACUACUUCUCUGUUUGAUGUCCUUUCACUGGUGAUUGCAGAGGCUUAGUUUCAAAGUUGGGCUAUGUCUUUAUCUUCAUAUUUGUGUUUCAGGAGGACGAGCUUUGAGACAGACUGUUUGCAGCUCUUCAACCUUUAGUAGAAACCCAUGUUUGGUAGAUCCCAUCUAUAUUCACUUGUGUGUAAUUGUCGUGAUCUUUCUUUUGGUUUUAAUUUUAUGGAUAUUUCUUUUAUGCA